UUUUUAACCUUGCUAUCUUCCUAUGAAUUAUACCUUUAGUAUCACUUGAUUUAGACAAGGUGGCUUUGUAAAAUUGAGUAGUUUUUGUUUCAUAGGAACUUAUAUUUUGGGUUUCCUGAAAAUUUUUCUAAUACUUUUCUAAUCUUAUUUGCUUUAUAGCUGGAGACUUAAGGAUAAAAAGAUCAUUUUUAAAACAUACAAACUGAAUUUUAGGGAUAAAUUGUGUUAGGUUUUGGUCUUGAAAACAAGUUCUGCAGUUAUUUGUAGUACCACACUUUCUCCUCUAAAUCUUGGUCUCUUGUUUGGAAGUGACUAACAGCAUUUUGGCAUGAGAAAGCCCUAAAAAGAUCAGUGUGUUUUUUGUGUCCAAUUCUUUUAUCACCAAAAAAGAGAAGAAAUAUUGCAGUGAAUGAAGA
rnacentral:sRNA from 1 species